rnacentral:rRNA from 1 species
CGGAAGCUGACUGCGGUAUACAUUAGUGAUAUAGGACGUCCAACUUAACUUGGAGUCCGAACUCUCACUUUCUAACCCUGUGCACUUGUUUGGGAUAGUAACUCUCGCAAGAGAGCGAACUCCUAUUCACUUAUAAACACAAAGUCUAUGAAUGUAUUAAAUUUUAUAACAAAAUAAAACUUUCAACAACGGAUCUCUUGGCUCUCGCAUCGAUGAAGAACGCAGCGAAAUGCGAUAAGUAAUGUGAAUUGCAGAAUUCAGUGAAUCAUCGAAUCUUUGAACGCACCUUGCGCUCCAUGGUAUUCCGUGGAGCAUGCCUGUUUGAGUGUCAUGAAUACUUCAACCCUCCUCUUUCUUAAUGAUUGAAGAGGUGUUUGGUUUCUGAGCGCUGCUGGCCUUUACGGUCUAGCUCGUUCGUAAUGCAUUAGCAUCCGCAAUCGAACUUCGGAUUGACUUGGCGUAAUAGACUAUUCGCUGAGGAAUUCUAGUCUUCGGAUUAGAGCCGGGUUGGGUUAAAGGAAGCUUCUAAUCAGAAUGUCUACAUUUUAAGAUUAGAUCUCAAAUCAGGUAGGACUACCCGCUGAACUUAAGCAUAUCAAUAAGCGGAGGAAAAGAAACUAACAAGGAUUCCCCUAGUAGCGGCGAGCGAAGCGGGAAGAGCUCAAAUUUAUAAUCUGGCACCUUCGGUGUCCGAGUUGUAAUCUCUAGAAAUGUUUUCCGCGUUGGACCGCACACAAGUCUGUUGGAAUACAGCGGCAUAGUGGUGAGACCCCCGUAUAUGGUGCGGACGCCCAGCGCUUUGUGAUACAUUUUCGAAGAGUCGAGUUGUUUGGGAAUGCAGCUCAAAUUGGGUGGUAAAUUCCAUCUAAAGCUAAAUAUUGGCGAGAGACCGAUAGCGAACAAGUACCGUGAGGGAAAGAUGAAAAGCACUUUGGAAAGAGAGUUAACAGUACGUGAAAUUGUUGGAAGGGAAACGCUUGAAGUCAGACUUGCUUGCCGAGCAAUCGGUUUGCAGGCCAGCAUCAGUUUUCCGGGAUGGAUAAUGGUAGAGAGAAGGUAGCAGUUUCGGCUGUGUUAUAGCUCUCUGCUGGAUACAUCUUGGGGGACUGAGGAACGCAGUGUGCCUUUGGCGGGGGUUUCGACCUCUCACACUAGGAUGCUGGAACCUGGCU